CCCUUAGAUGUUCUGGGCUGCACGCGCGCUACACUGAUGCGAUCAACAAGUUUUUCCUAUGUCGAUAGACACGGGUAAUCUUUUGAACUCGCAUCGUGAUGGGGGUAGAUUAUUGUAAUUAUUAAUCUUCAACGAGGAAUUCCUAGUAGGUGCAAAUCAUCAGUUUGCAUCGAUUACGUCCCUGCCCUUUGUACACACCGCCCGUCGCUGCUACCGAUUGGUUGAUCUGGUGAAUUAUUCGGACUGCCGGCUGAAGGGGUUUCCUCAUCUGCCAGCGGAAAGUCUUGUUAACCCUAUCAACUAGAGGAAGCAGAAGUCGUAACA
rnacentral:rRNA from 1 species